GGGGAUGAAGAUCAUAUCUUGCUGUAAGGCAGCUGAAAAGUCCAUUGUAAACCUGCUGGCUUCAUGACCAAAGGAAUCAGAGGACUGAACUCAUGGCAGCUACAGCUAGGAAGCUGAAGGGACCAUCCCAGAAAGCAGAGAGCCAGAAGGUGGAAGCCCGAGCUAUAAAAUGAAUGCUGGCUAUUCAGCAGGAAGGCCAGAAGGCAAAGGGGCAGCAUGGCACCAUUCAAGAAGCACCAGCCUGGGAGACUGAGGACAAGGGACCAGGAAUAGAACUACACCACUAGGAAUUCCUCCAGAAGCACAAGAACUAGAUAUGAAGGAUAAAACUGUUCACUGGUCCAGGUCUCUGAUAAAAUUACUAUGUAAGCAUCAAAUUCUUAUGUCAUUUAAUAUCAGAAUAAAUGGUAAUUAGAGAGAAACUGAUGGAUUAGCUUAGCUGUGAAGUGUAAUGGUUGCAAAAUUAAAUACACUGCCACUAAGUAGAAAUUUUAAGCAUAACCACUUUCAAAGGAAAUAGAUUUUUCAAAUAGCCUCUUUGGAAGAUUACUUAAUUCGUGUUUAUAAAUUAUGUUAAAGAUGAAAAGCCUUAUUAAAUAUUAGAGCAUCAUCUAAUACUCUAAUUUAUGCGCAGAAUGACAAUUAUCAAAUUGUAACUAAAUAGUGAGAGAGCAUAAUGGUGUAAGGCUUUGAUAAAAGGCCUUGAUUACUAGGAUCAGGAUCUAAGUUGAUUGGUCUUAGGCCAGCCUCUAUUUUCUCUUGUCAGACUAAAUGCAAUUUUCUUUUCAUGAGAAUUAAAAAAUUUAAGAUCAGAGUGUUUGGAUUUAGUUUGACAUUCUAAAUAUCAUUGUUAAUUGAUUUUGACAGAGCUAAUCAAUUGUCUUCUUUAAAUCUUAAAUUAGGAGUUCUCGUCAUGGCUCAGGGAUUAAUGAACCCGACUAGU